rnacentral:rRNA from 1 species
GACAGAGGUGCCGAGCGUUAGGCGGAAUCACUGGGCUUAAAGUGUGUGUAGGCGGGCGGGCAAGUACCUUGUGAAAUCCCACGGCUCAACCGUGGAACGGCUGGGUAUACUGCCUGUCUUGAGCCAACUAGGGGCGAGCGGAACAGACGGUGGAGCGGUGAAAUGCGUAGAUAUCGUCUGGAACGCCAAAGGUGAAAACAGCUCGCUGGGGUUGUGCUGACGCUGAGACACGAAAGCCAGGGGAGCGAACGGG